AACCUGGUGCCAUAAGACUCGGUAAUGCCAAAGACGCCAGCGGUAAUCAUCUUGAUCAGGCGUAAAGGGUUUGGAGGCAGCUUUAAAAUUUAAUUAAAGCUAGAAUCAUAUAGAGGUCACUGUCAGAUAAUACUUAGAGUAGGAUUGACAUCUGUAGAUACUAAGUGGAAUUCUAAUUAGCGAAGGCUCUUUUCCAAUUAAUGAUUGACGCUGAGAAACGAAGGGAGGAUAGACAAUAGGAUUAGAUACCCUGGCAUCCCUCUCUGUAAACGAUGAAUGGUAGUUGCUAGUUCAAGAAGCUAGUGACGAUGUUAACACGUUAACCAUUCCGCCUUGUGAGUACAAUUGCAAAGUUGAAAACAAAAAAAUUAGUCGGUUUCGGAGCAAACGAAGUGAAGCAUGUUAUUUAAUUCGAUAAUCCGC
rnacentral:rRNA from 1 species